CAUGGGACUCCACCCUUACCAUUGAGCCACACAGGCUCCCGCUCCAAUACACUCUCGUCUUUUUAUUAAAUGUUAUUGUUUGUCAAUAUGGCGCGUGUUACCUCUCAAUUCGCUUUCAUAUCCUACAACUGAAAAGUUCUUAAAAAUAAUAGCAUUUUUGUAACGUACACACAAGAAUGGUCUUGUUUACAACAAAAUCCAUAUAGUACAAAUAUCUAAAAUGCAACCCAGAAACGUCCUAAAGAUGUCUGAUAUCUCUGAGACAUCUUUAGGAUGUAUUUUGUACAUUGUACUGUAUGAGAGAUGAACUCGAAAUUUUUAAUUCAAUAUUAACCGAACACCAUAUACGUAUCAAGUACAAGAUUUCUUUACGAUCGCCGUUACCACCUUACUGCCGGCCGUUUGUGGCACGAGACGCACGGUUAUCAGCGAUAGAUCAAGCAUUUUACGCUGGUAUUUCUUGUGAAACACCAUGGCAGCGGAUUGUGUCUUAAACACAAUCGUGGCAUUACCCUCGCCCAUACGUAUGCUCUAUAACACGAAGAAUAGAGAACACAAUUAUUACAAGUUGUUAAACAAAUAUUGUUUAUUUAAUGUAAGCGUAAAUCUACCAAAAAUAAAAGAGGAGACUUAAUAUCGAAACGAACAUAACAACAAAUAUGUGCGUGUUGUAUGUUGGUGCGGUCGUCGUAAAUAUGUUUAGCAUCGUUUUGACUAUUGUAUCUUUGAGAAGAACAAAGUAAAGUAUCAAAAUAAAGCCGCUAAAAAUAUCAAUUUAAUAGUCUUGACGAAUCUUCUCGAGAAGAUCUGGCUACUCUUUGUAUGUUUGCUUUGCUUCAUUAAAUUUUCACAACUGUUUACAUUUUCCACUGAAAAGUAAUAAUACUGGCGCAAUUACAUAAACUAGAAAUAUACAGAUCAUUUAUGUAAAUCUCUUUGGUAUCAAAUGCAUGCUUGAAUAUAGCGUAAUAGAAUAUAACAUAUAAUGAUACUGUCCAUGGUAUAAAAAUCCAUAGUAUAUUUGGCUUUUUGACAAAUUUGUAUAUCUCUUAUGUAUGCCAGAAUAUACACAGAUUCUCAUGUAUCGAGAUAUAACAAUUUGUAACUAAUCUAAAACUAUAAAACUAUAAAAAAAAAGAUAUAUAUAUGUAUAUAUAUAUAUAUAUAUAUAUAUAUAUAUAUAUAUCGUCUCCUUACAACUUAAAUACUUAAGUACUUAGUUAAGUACCAAUCAUUUCUGAUCACAUGGAUACUUCCAUAACAGACAAAUAAAUUAUAAAAUCAAUUAUAUUAAUACUCUAAUAAUUUGAUUAUUAUUUAUAUAAUAUAUGAAUUAUUGAUAUAAUAACACGCGAAGUAAAAAUUUGAUAUCGUAGAACCAUCGGUAACAUAUACUUAUCUCUAAUCGUAAUAUAUUUGUAUUUGGAAUGAUACAACUCAUAAAAGACACAAUUAUCGAGCAAUGAUGUGACUCGUAAGAUUAGGAAUAAGAAACCGAAUAAUCAAUCGAACGCGCUAAUAUGUCCCUAAUAACCGCUUGCAAUUACAAACGGGAGGAAUAAUAUACAUGUGUUUUUUUUUUUUCGACAUCUUAACACAUAUUUGUUUGUAUUCAAAGAAAAAGUGGUAUUUGUGUAAACAAAAAUUAUAUAUCACAAAAUAAUCAAAAUCUAAAAUAAUCCAAUUAUAUAUAUUAAAUGCAUGCAACAAACGAAUUGUCCUAUUUUGGAAUACGUAAAAUGAAAUAAAACGCUUUCAAUAAGUUUGUGUAUGUAUGUAUGUAUGUAUGUAUAUGCGUGGGUGUAUAUGUGUGUGUGUGUAUGAAGUAUGUGACGUUAAAAGAUAGGUUUGUUAAUGGAGGACGAGCGUGCCAAAUGAUGAAGCGUUUUCAGGUAAAUAUAGUCACCUCAAUGGUUCCAAUCCCUUGACACAUACGUCUAAUUUGUGCCUCGGACGUGCUCGCGGCCAAAUUCUCGAGACUGACCGUGUUGCUCCUGAUCUCGGGCAAUUUUCUCGAUGGGACCGUGUUGGUCUUUUGCAACACGAUUCGCUGAGAGUUGGGCGUGUUGACGUUUCUCUGAAGGGGACCGCCACUAGUCCCAUCAACGUUGACAACGGUCUUUUGCAGGCCACUUAGCGCUUUGUGCGCUACCAUUCUCGGACCAACAUUCAUCUGACCGACUCUUUGUCCAACAACUAACGCCGAUUUUUGUAACGUGUUUCCUGAAUUCUGUACAAUUUUCUGUACUUGCAUGAUCUGCGUGUUAGGCAUUUUUUGCUGUAAUCCUUGAUUACGUUGCAGAUUGGAGACUGUCUUCUGUAUGGUGGUGGCGAUCUUUUUCGAAUUGAGUAACGGCUUGUGUAUCACGACUCUUCGUGUGCCGGGCUGUUGUGUCAUUUGCCUAGUUUGUACAUCGCCGGCUUCGUCGAGCGCGUUCUCGGGGUUAUCGUCUUUCGCACCGACAGUGUCGUUUCGCGUCAUCAGAUCGUUGGUCUGAACAGUAGUCUGUAUCGCUCUAACGAUUCGCAUAAGUGGUCUGUCUGUUGCCUACAACAAAAAUAUCAAACAUUGGAUGCAGGUAUUUGUCGCUAUCCGUGAAAUAUAUUUUAUAAAUACUGAAAUGUAAGCGAGUUGUACAACACAAUAGAACUUGCUAUAAUAAUACGAUUAUCAAAAUCGUAGUUCAGUAUUGCGCAAUUGCGCCCCAGUGAGAAAUCAAGCGGAAUCACGAAAUAUAGUGGUCGAGCUUUAACGUUGGUGAUGCCGUCCUUUAUAACUCCCAUCAGCGUUGACACAGGCUUCGUAUCUUGCUGUACGAUUUCGUUUGCUGAAAUAUUCCGAAAAUAUCAUUCAAUACAAGUGUACAGAAAAAUCUAUCAAGAUAUAACACAUAGUAGUAUAUAGAAUAUAUAAAAGAAUGUAUAAAAAAAUGUAUAAAAGAAUAUAUAAAAGAAUGUAUAAAAAUAUAUAG